rnacentral:rRNA from 1 species
GGUUUAUUAGAUCAUACGCAUCAAAUGGAUAACUGUGGAAAAUCUAGAUAAUACAUGCCGCGAAACUUCGACUUGCGAAGGAGUGCUUUUAUUAGAUCAAGCCAAUGGCCCACUUGUGGGUCUGAAACUGUGCUGAUCUGAGUAAGUAAGCUGUGCAUCGCCAUUGAGUAGGUGACGUAUCUUUCAAGUGUCUUCCCUAUCAACUUUCGUUGGUACUUUAUAUGACUACCAUGGUCGUAACGGACGGGGAUCAGGGUUGAUUCCGGAGAGAGAGCAUGAGAAACGGCUGUCACAUCCAAGGAAGGCAGCAGGCGCGCAAAUUACCCAAUCCUAGAUCGGGGAGGUAGUGACGAAAAAUAACGAUGCCGUGAUCUUAGGAUUCGGCAAUUGGAAUGAGAACAAUCAAAAUCCUUUAUCGAGGAUCAAUUGGAGGGCAAGUUCUGGUGCCAGCAGCCGCGGUAAUUCCAGCUCGAAUAGCGUAUAUUAAAUUUGCUGCGGUUAAAAAGCUCGUAGUUGGGUGUCAGGAGAUGAACUUGGG